CUUCUUGGAUGAGUUGCGAACGGGUGAGUAACGCGUAGGUAACCUGCCUUGUAGCGGGGGAUAACUAUUGGAAACGAUAGCUAAUACCGCAUAACAAUGGAUGACACAUGUCAUUUAUUUGAAAGGGGCAAUUGCUCCACUACAAGAUGGACCUGCGUUGUAUUAGCUAGUAGGUGAGGUAAUGGCUCACCUAGGCGACGAUACAUAGCCGACCUGAGAGGGUGAUCGGCCACACUGGGACUGAGACACGGCCCAGACUCCUACGGGAGGCAGCAGUAGGGAAUCUUCGGCAAUGGGGGCAACCCUGACCGAGCAACGCCGCGUGAGUGAAGAAGGUUUUCGGAUCGUAAAGCUCUGUUGUAAGUCAAGAACGGGUGUGAGAGUGGAAAGUUCACACUGUGACGGUAGCUUACCAGAAAGGGACGGCUAACUACGUGCCAGCAGCCGCGGUAAUACGUAGGUCCCGAGCGUUGUCCGGAUUUAUUGGGCGUAAAGCGAGCGCAGGCGGUUUGAUAAGUCUGAAGUUAAAGGCUGUGGCUCAACCAUAGUUCGCUUUGGAAACUGUCAAACUUGAGUGCAGAAGGGGAGAGUGGAAUUCCAUGUGUAGCGGUGAAAUGCGUAGAUAUAUGGAGGAACACCGGUGGCGAAAGCGGCUCUCUGGUCUGUAACUGACGCUGAGGCUCGAAAGCGUGGGGAGCGAACAGGAUUAGAUACCCUGGUAGUCCACGCCGUAAACGAUGAGUGCUAGGUGUUGGAUCCUUUCCGGGAUUCAGUGCCGCAGCUAACGCAUUAAGCACUCCGCCUGGGGAGUACGACCGCAAGGUUGAAACUCAAAGGAAUUGACGGGGGCCCGCACAAGCGGUGGAGCAUGUGGUUUAAUUCGAAGCAACGCGAAGAACCUUACCAGGUCUUGACAUCCCGAUGCUAUUUCUAGAGAUAGAAAGUUACUUCGGUACAUCGGUGACAGGUGGUGCAUGGUUGUCGUCAGCUCGUGUCGUGAGAUGUUGGGUUAAGUCCCGCAACGAGCGCAACCCCUAUUGUUAGUUGCCAUCAUUCAGUUGGGCACUCUAGCGAGACUGCCGGUAAUAAACCGGAGGAAGGUGGGGAUGACGUCAAAUCAUCAUGCCCCUUAUGACCUGGGCUACACACGUGCUACAAUGGUUGGUACAACGAGUUGCGAGUCGGUGACGGCGAGCUAAUCUCUUAAAGCCAAUCUCAGUUCGGAUUGUAGGCUGCAACUCGCCUACAUGAAGUCGGAAUCGCUAGUAAUCGCGGAUCAGCACGCCGCGGUGAAUACGUUCCCGGGCCUUGUACACACCGCCCGUCACACCACGAGAGUUUGUAACACCCGAAGUCG
rnacentral:rRNA from 1 species